rnacentral:rRNA from 1 species
AGAGUUUGAUCCUGGCUCAGAGCGAACGCUGGCGGCACGCUUAACACAUGCAAGUCGAGCGAGAAAGUGACUUCGGUCACGAGUAAAGCGGCGAACGGGUGAGUACAACGUGGAUAAUCUACCCUAAGGUCCGGGACAACCUCGAGAAAUCGGAGCUAAUACCGGAUAAGACCACGGUAUCUAAGGAUACAGGGGUAAAAGAUUUAUCGCCUUUGGAUGAGUCCACGUCCCAUCAGGUAGUUGGUAAGGUAAAAGCUUACCAAGCCUAAGACGGGUAGCCGGCCUUAGCGGGUGAACGGCCACAUGGGGACUGAGACACGGCCCUGACUCCUACGGGAGGCAGCAGUGGGGAAUAUUGGGCAAUGGGCGAAAGCCUGACCCAGCGAUGUCGCGUGAGGGAUGAAGGCCUUCGGGUCGUAAACCUCUGUCGGGAGGGACGAUGGGACUUAGGUCUUGACGGUACCUCCAGAGGAAGCCCCGGCUAACUCCGUGCCAGCAGCCGCGGUAAUACGGAGGGGGCAAGCGUUGCUCGGAAUUACUGGGCGUAAAGGGUCCGCAGGCUGUCAGGCAAGUUGGUUGUGAAAGCUCAAGGCUUAACCUUGGAAUUGCAUCCAAAACUGCCUGACUAGAGUACAAGAGAGGUUGGCAGAAUUCCCGGUGUAGCGGUGAAAUGCAUAGAUAUCGGGAGGGAUACCAGAGGCGAACGCGGCCAACUGGCUUGUAACUGACGCUCAGGGACGAAAGCGUGGGUAGCAAACCGGAUUASAUACCCGGGUAGUCCACGCCCUAAACGAUGGAUGCUAGGUAGGGGGAAUUCAAUUCUCCUUGCCGUAGUUAACGCAUUAAGCAUCCCGCCUGGGGAGUACGGUCGCAAGGCUGAAACUCAAAGGAAUUGGCGGGGGCCCGCACAAGCGGUGGAGCACGUGAUUUAAUUCGAUGCUAAUCGAAAAACCUUACCAAGACUUGACAUGUUAACUCAAGUCUAUACGAAAGUAUUAGGUGCUCCGAGCUUGCUCGGAACAGUUAUCACAGGUGCUGCAUGGCUGUCGUCAGCU